rnacentral:rRNA from 1 species
UGGGGAAUAUUGCACAAUGGGCGAAAGCCUGAUGCAGCAACGCCGCGUGAGGGACGACGGCCUUCGGGUUGUAAACCUCUUUUAGCAAGGAAGAAGCGAAAGUGACGGUACUUGCAGAAAAAGCGCCGGCUAACUACGUGCCAGCAGCCGCGGUAAUACGUAGGGCGCAAGCGUUAUCCGGAAUUAUUGGGCGUAAAGAGCUCGUAGGCGGUUUGUCGCGUCUGCUGUGAAAACCCGAGGCUCAACCUCGGGCCUGCAGUGGGUACGGGCAGACUAGAGUGCGGUAGGGGAGAUUGGAACUCCUGGUGUAGCGGUGAAAUGCGCAGAUAUCAGGAAGAACACCGAUGGCGAAGGCAGAUCUCUGGGCCGUAACUGACGCUGAGGAGCGAAAGGGUGGGGAGCAAACAGGCUUAGAUACCCUGGUAGUCCACCCCGUAAACGUUGGGAACUAGUUGUGGGGUCCAUUCCACGGAUUCCGUGACGCGGCUAACGCAUUAAGUUCCCCGCCUGGGGAGUACGGCCGCAAGGCUAAAACUC